UACGAAGGGGGCUAGCGUUGCUCGGAAUCACUGGGCGUAAAGGGUGCGUAGGCGGUCGGGUAAGUCUGAUGUGAAAUCUCACAGCUUAACUGUGAAACUGCAUUGGAUACUAUCCGGCUUGAGGAAUGGGGAGGGAGACGUGAAUACUUGGUGUAGCAGUGAAAUGCGUAGAUAAUCGGAAGGAACACCAGUGGCGAAAGCGGCUUCCUGGUCCAGCACCGACGUCAGGCACGAAAGCGUGGGGAGCAAACAGG
rnacentral:rRNA from 1 species